rnacentral:SRP_RNA from 11 species
UGCACUUGUUGGGGCCACUGAUCCAGGCCAGCAAGCUCUGCGCGAACGGUUGGCCCUGGUUGGGGCACGGGGCGGUGCUGAU